rnacentral:rRNA from 1 species
UCUGAAUCUGCGNACGGCUCCGCAAACCAGUUGUAAGCUAUAGCAAGCAUGCUCGGGAUUUGGCCCUCACGGGUUGGGUUUCGGGUGAUAAGGAUAACCCUGGUAAUCCUGAGGCUAAUACUAGAACGCAAAAACUUGACUGACCGGUUUUACUGGGAGGUUGGGGGGCGUGCAAGUGGGUUUCGCAUAGGAUAACCGGGAAGGGGUGCACGUUUGGACCGCGAUAAAGACAGACUGGUUUCGGCCGGCCUGAGCGGCACUUGCGUUGUGCUUCUGACCUAUCAACUAGAUGGCAGCGUAACGGACAUGCUAUGGUGCAACGGGUACAGAGG